ensembl:rRNA 5S_rRNA 5S ribosomal RNA
GUCUACGGCCAUACUACCAUGAACACGCCCAAUCUUGUCUGAUCUUGGAAGCUAAGCAGGGUUUGACCUGGUUAGAACUUAGAUGGGAGACUGCCUAGGAAUACCGGGUGCUGUAGGCU